rnacentral:rRNA from 1 species
GGACCAUCAUGUCGGUCGAGACCUCUGGUACGUACUGGUAUUGUUGGUUUCUCCCUUCUGACGAACCAUGAUGUCAUUUAUUUGGUGUUGUGGGGAAUCAGGACUGUUACUUUGAAAAAAUUAGAGUGUUUAAAGCAAGCUAACGCUUGAAUACAUUAGCAUGGAAUAAUGAAAUAGGACGUUCGAUCCUAUUUUGUUGGUUUCUAGGAUCGACGUA